CACUUUAUUUACGAUCUUGCCACCGGGCUGAUUUCAGCCCAAAUUUCGCUUUAUUUACAAGAUUACCACUGGGCUUGAGAGGUUUUCAGUCUUUCGGUUGGAGCUGGGUUUUGACUCGAGGAGAGAGAGGGAAGACGUACAGAAGGGUUGACGACGCAUUGGAGGGAGACGUUCGCCGGGAAUUAGGGGAGAGGAUUUUCGGCAGGGACGUGCGGGUGGGUGUCCUGUGGCUGAUGCAUCGGUCAGAGGGUUGUUGGGGGGAUGGGAGGGCAUGCCGCUCUGGGUCGAGAUAGAGAGACAGAGCAACAGAGAGAGAGAGGGAGAGGGUGGUUCGUUUUCCAUUUGCUUCCUGAAUGUCGAAUCUCCAAUUGCAUCCAUUGUCAUUUCGAUUUGGGAGAGGGUGGUUGCUGUCGGUGAGAUUGAGGGAUGGGUGUGAGAUUCGGUGAGGGGAAAGGUUACAAGGAGAAAGAGAGACAGGCAGAAAAAGAGGGAGGAGUGGGGUGAAUAGGUCCCCAUAUGAACAAAUCCAUGCUCAGAACUAAUUUAGGGUUAGGGUUCUGAAAUUAAUUUUCCCCCAAUUUGCCCUCUCUCUUAAAUCACCAUAUCUAGGUGGAUUACCAAAAGGAGCUCAUAAAGUAUUCAGCGAGCAUGAUCGACCUUGAUCAUUUGGAUAUUUAAAGGAGCCAUUGAUAAAGGGAAGACGACGAGUUGUGAACCUGUGUGCCAAUUUUGCCAAUUUUGCAGACAAGCGGAAACUCUGACACAGUGAUCAAACAGGCUUUCAUGUUGCAUAUUUUGAUUAAUAGCGGUGAAACCCACUGUGUGUCGCACCAUGUAAGGAAAUGGAAUUGCUCCUUUUUGAGUUUAGGUAGAUUUUUUAGAGGUUUUCGUAUAUAUUGCUAGAAACUUUGUCUACUUAUAUAUGGUGAUUUACGUUUCCAUUGGUGCACCUCUGGAAUCUUAUUAUGUGUUGUAGGAAACUCUGUUUCUGUAUUUAUUGUAGAAUAUUUUCUUUGUUCUCUUCAUUGGAUUCGAUUUCGGUGAGUUCUUAGUUGAUCCUUGCUCUCAUGAUUUCCCAAAUUGGUAUUUUUGGGCGUCUUCAGUUGUCGCUUUGAUCUGGAAUUCCGCGUUGUUUCUUUCAAUUUCUGGGUUUUUAUUUUUUCUCACAUAAUAAUGACAUUAAUAUAGUUGACAGUGACACCAUGCAUUACUUAUAGAUCAUUUUCUUUACUGUAAGGACCCUUUUGAAUUGAUUUGGUAAAUGUAGUGUAGGCAUAAGAACUUUAUGGUGUUUUGUUGUGAUUCAUGAACGAUGGAAGGUCUCGUUGCUGUAACACGAAACCCAGCUUUCGGCUAUCCGCUGGCAUCUUUCUGAAGGUUUGUGUACUAUCUUAUGUGGAAUUGGGAUGGUAUGACUUUGAAUACUUAUCGUACAUGAGGAAAGGAAAUGUGAAAUGUUGGGUUGAUUAAUUAAUAGAGAACAAAAGCAUUGAUACUAUAUGAUUGUGUAGAUUCAGUUAUGUUGAUUGAGUAUUUGUUGGUGCGUUGCAAUAAGAUGCAUUUUUUCAUAAUAAGUUGAUGUGGUUGUUGUAUUUAUAUGCAUCUUCGUUCUGGAGCCCUCCCUGUUUUCCACAUCUCCCCUCGCACUACCUAAAGCCGAAACCAAACCCAGCUAUGCAGGAAUCAAAUCGCAGGUCUCCGACACCCACAAAGGAUUGACAAGGAUGAACAGAAACGGAUAUAACAACAGUAAGACCAAAUAUGAGAUCCAACGAAAUAAAAAAAAAUAGCGGUGUAGAAGCCAAGGCCUACGGAUUCAAAAGGAAAAGAAUGCCUGCAUGUUGGAUCUGUGAUUUGGGCUUGAACAAAAGUACCUCUGUGCUGCCUGGAUCCUCCACCCCCAAACUUAGAAUGAAAGAGAGCUAGAACUAGAAGGACAGUAAAAUGCUCGAAUAAUGGAACAGAAUUGCGAUUAUGCCCGAGAUAUUUGAUGUUACAGUAACAACUGCAAAUACAAGUUGAGAGGAAGAUCAUAUUCCUUUUGUGGUGGAGCUAGAGUUCGUUAUCGUCUGCGCCGAUCCUAGCCCAUUUGAAACUCAAGAAGAGAUUGAAAUUGGGGAAUGCUCACUGAGGCUGGUAAGGAAUUGAAAUUGGAAAUUAGUAAGUCAAAGAAAGCUAAGAAAUAGGAAAGGAAGGAUGGUAAUUCAUUUGAAACUCAAGAAGAGAAUGAAAUUGGUGAGAUGCUCACUAAGGCUGUUAAGUCAAAGAACACUAAGACAAAGAAAAAGAAGGAUGGUAAUUCAUUAGAGUUUGUAAGAGUUACUUUUCACUAACAGAUUGUCUCGCAUCACCUCCUUUUAUACUUAUGCUACAAGGAUUCAGGACUCAAUUUUGGAUAUAUGUGCAAGUGCAUUUUAGCCACAUCACCAUCAUUCUCAAAUUCAUAUGAAAAACUCAUGCAAAUUGUAUAUAACUUGGACUUAGAAAUCCGCCCUUUUGGAUGUACAUAGGAUGCAAAUUGAAGACUUAUUUUACCAUGUGAAUUCAGCUGUUUUGAUUGGUUUAUGAAUUAUUUAGAUAUGGGUGUGUUGAACUGUGGUUACGAUUUCAAAACCCGCAGCGGAGCGCGAACAUUUUUUCUAGUCACUUCUAAAAGGAAUGAGUUUGGGCAGUUUCUUCUUACUUUUCCGCUUCACUGGUUGUUCACCUUCAGAUGAUCAGCUAGAACCACUUCUAAAGCCAACAGAAUCUUUGUUGUCUGUUUCAACAUCUCCAAAUCCUAAAUCAGGGAAGGGUUCAGUGCUUUCCUAUUUCCAUUGCAUUUUCCACUGGUAUUUUUCCCUUUAGUUUUCCCUACAUUGUAGUCAAAUAAGUUGUCAUUGACAUCACUUAGUUCAUAGUCUGAGUCUCGAUAAUCUGAAUCUUCCGAAUUGCCAUCGCCAUCUAUCUCUUCCUUUUCCACGUUAUGUAUACCUACCUCAACAAGAUUGUCUUGUUCCCGAUCUCCUUCAUAAGCUUGCUCCAAAAAUCCCUCAAAUAUGCCAAAAGGAUUAGACGUGUGAGGAAUGUCAAAAGAGUUUGUUGAAGCUUGAAUUUCAAUGUUUGGGGCUGACAUGUGAGGAAUGUCAGAAGAGCUUGAUGAAGCUUGAAUUUCAAUGUUAGGGCUGAAUUGAUCGGUUGGUCAUCUCCAACAAUUUACACAAGUGCCACUCUAUUAAGGGGCAAUACAGUAGUUAGAGUCCAAAAAUCACUAUCAGCAACCAUAGGCUUGUAAGUUCUGUCAUUUGGCAAUGUGUAAUAGUACUUAGCAGUCUCAGUUACCCUAACUUCUUCGCACAAUCCUCAAUAUCCCACCUGGACAUUAGAUCACAGUUCAUAUUACAGGCUUCUAUAAAGUGACCUCCAUGGUGCAUUUCCAUUUUAAAUAACUCAAAUUUAUCUGUACAAGAUAAGUGAUCAAAGUUUAAGCAAUCGGUAAAAUGGCAAAUCAAAUGAACAUUCCCUACUUAGAUACAAAGUAAGCAUCAGAAUACAAGUGCAUGGACACGAAGAUAGGUCUCAGUACUUUAAAUUUUGAGAUUUAGAGUGUUCAAGUCACAAUCACCAACUUUCAAUGAACGCCAUUUAUAUGUCUAAAAUAAAAAAAAUAAAAUUAAAAACUCUCAAAUUCUCGAUUCGAUACAUAAAAUGUUAAACAGGAGACCUUGUCCCAAUCCAAUCCGCCCUCUGUAAACAAACCAAAUUAUGUUGAUUUAUGUUAUCUUUUAUUUGAGAUAUAGAUGGGAAUACUUUGUAUCCUAGUAGGACUCUUUGUAAUCCAAUAUAUUUAUACGCUGUCAAUGAAUGAAUAUGAGCUACGGCUUCUACAAUUCAAUUUCCCUGUUACAGAUUUUCUACAUAAAAGCAUUAAACAAAACACAUGAAGACAUUAAUAUAAAACAAGUAGUCGACAUUCUACGGGAAAUCUAUGCGUUGCAGAUUCCCAUAUGAUCAGAGAGGUCGACUUAUCUUGGAGGUAAUGCUAAUCAAAAUAUGCCACUAACCACCAGUCUCAUCUCUCUAAUUCCACCAUGCUUUUAUAGUGUUGCCCUUGAUCACAUAUGAUGGUGGCAUGCUCUCCAUUGUUGGAAGUCUUUAACUUCUUUUUCAUUUUGCUUGAUAGUCAUUUAUACCUUGGAAAGCAAUAAAUAUGCCGUGAUGAAAACAAGCACACAAAAAAGCAUAACAUUGAUUUGGUGGUUUUUAUAAGCUCAGGAUGUUUUCUAUAUCGAAGAUUGAUUUUUCUGUCUUAACCAUUUGCUAGAUAGGAAAAUUGCCCGAUAGUUCCCGCUUAAAUCAUGCUCUCUCUCUCUCUCUCUCUCUCUCUCUCAAUCUAAAAUAGAGACAUGAUUCAAAAUUAACAUCACAAAUAUUGUUGAUGCCACAUCUUUUGUUGAGAAGUCAUGAAACAAAAGACAUGUUGCUAAGAUCCUGAAAGAUUGAAAAAAGUUAUUUCUAUAUGAUUAUAUCAGUUUUAACAUUACCCACUACCCAAUAUUUGAACAGUCAAUGCUUGGAGGCUUAUGUCAAUCUCUAACAAUUGUUCGAAUUAUUGUAUCCAAGUAUGCAUUAUACAUUCAAUUGAGCCAAUGAAGCAUGUGUGCCAACGAAUUUUGAAGAGUUCGGCUUGGUUUUCUCUCUUUGAUCUUUAAUAUUUAAGUGUGAGGCACCUGUUUGUUGACUAAUUGAGUCCCUUCUCUAAGUUUUUAGUAGAUAUUGUGUAAUUUGCUUUUAUGAGCACUUCUUUAAGCUGUCAAGUUCCCAAAAUGUACAAGGAGAUAUCAAGUUUAACAAGUCACGAACUAUGAUCAAUCCAAAUGCAGUGAAAUUAGGGAUUUUACACUUAAAAACUUAGUUAGCUUUAGACCAUAGGAGUAAGAUUUUGCACAUGUGAUUAUCAUUGACCAUCUCAUUUUAUUUUUCUGGAUAAGAAACAAACUGUCAUUGAAGGGAGAAGAAAGUGUACAAAAACAAAGUUUCUGUAAGCUUGCUGCCAUUUGAAAAUUCUGGAAGCUAUUAAUUCUGCUUCAUCGGUGACUCAAACCUUAAGCGGAGAAGUGGCUGACGGUCAACGUAAGCUCAUAGCCCUUGCAGCUGCACGAGGAAACUCAAGUGCAGUAAAUCCUCUGGUCACACAACUCACUAAUGGACCUUUGGGUGGUCUUCAUGAGAAGGUCGUGGAUUCCGUGCUGCUGCAGUAUAUUUAAAUGCUGCUGUCCUCCACUGUUUGAGCCUGGGCCUCCGCCACUACCAUAGUGGCGGGAGUGUGUGAAGUGUGUUGAUGCUGAGGAUAAUGCUGAAUUUGGUGACACUCCUCAACUAGCAGAGCAGGUAACAGAGCUUCUUCCAACUCAAAUUUAAUGAUUGAAGCUGCCUAAGAUUUGCGUAACAUUCCCAAGUUGUAGUCGAUGUGCCUGAGUGGUUGAGUGCUUGACUAAUGAAUGUAACCACUAAGAUUUGGAUUGUUUUUUUGUUUUGGGGGGGGGG